GAUGAACGCUGGCGGCGCGCCUAACACAUGCAAGUCGAACGAUUAAAGCACCUUCGGGUGUGUAUAAAGUGGCGAACGGCUGAGUAACACGUGGGCAACCUGCCCCUUUCAUUGGGAUAGCCACGGGAAACCGUGGAUAAUACCGAAUACUUCGAGACUUCCGCAUGGAAGACUCGAGAAAGCUCCGGCGGAGAGGGAUGGGCCCGCGGCCUGUUAGCUUGUUGGUGGGGUAACGGCCUACCAAGGCAAUGAUGGGUAGCUGGGUUGAGAGACCGACCAGCCAGAUUGGGACUGAGACACGGCCCAGACUCCUACGGGAGGCAGCAGUGGGGAAUCUUGCACAAUGGGCGAAAGCCUGAUACAGCGACGCCGCGUGCGGGAUGAAGGCCUUCGGGUUGUAAACCGCUUUCAGCAGGGACGAGGCGAAAGUGACGGUACCUGCAGAAGAAGCCCCGGCUAACUACGUG
rnacentral:rRNA from 1 species